rnacentral:sRNA from 1 species
CUAUCCUCUUUUUUUUUGACUAUGAUACUCAGCCUGACUUUCUGCCCUGCCUGGAAGUAUAUGCUCUGUUAGCAGAACCGAACUUGGUCAUUUCGGUAAAAGAACCCGAAACCCUAGUGGUCACAUCCCUUCCUUAGAACCAGCCAAUCGAAGCCUGUCGCCAUUAGGAUCUCCCCUACUGAGGAGUCUUCUUCAGAGUCUUUACUUUUCUCUGCUCAUUAAGCUUUCAGCAAGCCUCUUCCGCAGACAUGGGCCAUGCACAGAGGAGGCAGGUGGUGGAAGUGGAAGAGGAAGAUCUUCCAGACACACGGAGCAGAGUGAGGCUUGCAAGGGAGAGAAGGCUCGACAGUCAGAUCUGACCCAGAGAGAGCGCCACGGGCCUCGGAGCCAUUGUCUGUAUCAGGUGUGUUAGACCAAGCUCAUCUCCGUCCUGUUCCCUCCAAGCCUCUUCCACAGACACUGGCCGUGCACUGAGGAAGCAGGUGUGGAAGGGGAGGAGAAGCCCUUCCAGACACAGGGAGCAGAGUGAGGCCUGCAAGGAAGAUGGUGCCAGAGAGGGUGCCACAUGCCCGGUAGGAUCGUGAAGAAGCAUGAGGAGGCUCUCAGUGCUGGUCAAGAUCCUCUAGGUCAGAGGACCUCCAACCCGAGUGGUCAUUUCCCUCCAAACCCUUUCAUGGGUCCCUAACCAGGAAGAUUUCUUCUGCAUUUUUAUUUUUCUCUCAUCAUCCAGGCUUCUGAAAGGUGAGCCGUGGUCCUCUGUAGUUACUAGAGUGUCCUCAUGGUGACUAGAGUGUCCGUUCUAGUCUACUUUCUGCUGCUGUGAUGAAACUCUGGCCAAAGGCAACUCCGGGAGAAAGGAGCUUACUUAGCUUGCAGAUUGCAGUUGUCACUGAGGGCCGCUGGGGCAGGAACUGAAGCCUGAAGGAGGCUGCUUCCUGGCUUGCUGCACUCAGUGAGGUUUCUUACACAGAGCCCAGCCGCACCCUGCCCCACCCCCACCCCCGCCAGGAUUAGUGCUGCCCACCCAGGCUGGGCCUCCCCACAUCAAUCAUGUGUCCAGACAGUCUCAGGUAUGGCCACAGGCCAGUAUGAUCAUUCUUCAGCUGGAGCUCCCUCUUCCCAGAUGACUCUAGACUGUCAGUUAUCAACAAAACUGACUGGGACUGAGGGCUGAGCAUGGCUCUCGAGAAGGCUGUGGACCAGCACUGCCUCACGCAACAGAACUAUUUUGGGUCGAAGUUUGUUCAGUGAUUGAUUUUUUUAACUUUUGUGUGUGUAGUGUUUCACCUGCAUG